GACGAACGCUGGCGGCGUGCUUAACACAUGCAAGUCGAACGAUGAAGCCGGAGCUUGCUCUGGUGAAUUAGUGGCGAACGGGUGAGUAACACGUGAGUAACCUGCCCUUGACUCUGGGAUAACUGCUAGAAAUGGUAGCUAAUACCGGAUACGACCCUCGGAGGCAUCUCCAGGGGGUGGAAAGAAUUUCGGUCAAGGAUGGACUCGCGGCCUAUCAGCUAGUUGGUGAGGUAACGGCUCACCAAGGCGACGACGGGUAGCCGGCCUGAGAUGGUGACCGGCCACACUGGGACUGAGACACGGCCCAGACUCCUACGGGAGGCAGCAGUGGGGAAUAUUGCACAAUGGGCGCAAGCCUGAUGCAGCAACGCCGCGUGAGGGAUGACGGCCUUCGGGUUGAAAACCUCUUUUAGUAGGGAAGAAGCGAAAGUGACGGUACCUGCAGAAAAAGCACCGGCUAACUACGUGCCAGCAGCCGCCGUAA
rnacentral:rRNA from 1 species